rnacentral:rRNA from 1 species
UACGUAGGGGACAAGCGUUGUCCGGAUUUAUUGGGCGUAAAGCGCACGCAGGCGGUCUAUCAAGUCUGACGUGAAAUCUCUCGGCUUAACCGGGAGCGGUCGUUGGAAACUGAUGGACUUGAGGCGAUGAGAGGGGUGUGGAAUUCCGGGUGUAGCGGUGGAAUGCGUAGAGAUCCGGAGGAAGACCGGUGGCGAAGGCGGUCUGCUGGGCAGUUUCUGACACUGAUGCGCGACAGCGUGGGGAGCAAACAGG